CCACCUGCGCAGCCUGUGAGGGCAAGGGACAUAGGAUGACCCCAGCCUGUCCCCUCUUACUAUCUGUGAUUCUGUCCCUGCGCCUGGCCGCCGCCUUCGACCCCGCCCCCAGCGCCUGCUCCGCCCUGGCCUCGGGCGUGCUCUACGGGGCCUUCUCACUGCAGGACCUCUUUCCCACCAUCGCCUCGGGCUGCUCCUGGACCCUGGAGAACCCUGACCCCACCAAGUACUCCCUCUACCUGCGCUUCAACCGCCAGGAGCAGGUGUGCACUCACUUUGCCCCCCGUCUGCUGCCCCUGGACCACUACCUGGUCAACUUUACCUGCCUGCGGCCUAGCCCAGAGGAGGCGGUGGCCGGGGCGGAGGCAGAGGCGGGGUGGCCAGAGGAGGAGGAGGAGGCCGCAGCGGGGCUGGAACUGUGCAGCGGCUCGGGCCCCUUUACCUUCCUGCACUUCGACAAGAACUUCGUGCAGCUGUGCCUGUCGGCAGAGCCCUCGGAGGCCCCGCGCCUGCUGGCGCCUGCCGCCCUGGCCUUCCGCUUCGUUGAGGUCUUGCUCAUCAACAACAACAACUCCAGCCAGUUCACCUGCGGCGUGCUCUGCCGCUGGAGUGAGGAGUGCGGCCGCGCUGCCGGCCGGGCCUGUGGCUUCGCCCAGCCAGGCUGCAGCUGCCCCGGGGAGGCAGGGGCUGGUCCCGCCACCACCACCACGCUUCCAGGCCCUCCGGCUGCCCACACUCUGUCCAAUGCCCUGGUGCCCGGGGGCCCGGCCCCACCCGCUGAGGCCGAUUUGCAUUCAGGGAGCAGCAAUGACCUGUUCACGACCGAGAUGAGAUAUGGUGAGUCUGAGCAGGGCCCUGGUGGGGUUGGCUCCCUCACCACAGCCACCUUCUGCCGGCCCUCCUUCCUGCAGCUUCAAGGCCCCUAG